rnacentral:rRNA from 1 species
UACGGGGGGGGCAAGCGUUGUUCGGAAUUACUGGGCGUAAAGGGCUCGUAGGCGGCCAACUAAGUCAGACGUGAAAUCCCUCGGCUUAACCGGGGAACUGCGUCUGAUACUGGAUGGCUUGAGUUUGGGAGAGGGAUGCGGAAUUCCAGGUGUAGCGGUGAAAUGCGUAGAUAUCAAGAGGAACACCUGCGGCGAAGGCGGGUUGCUGGGCUGACACUGACGCUGAGGCGCGAAAGCUAGGGGAGCAAACAGG